CUUUGUAAUUUGGAGCAUAUAAAUACGUAAGGAAUACCUCUCUUCCAUGGGAUCUAUCACAAUAGAAAGCAAAGCUAUAUAGGAUUAUUUCCCAUAUCAAGAAAAUGAAAAUCCCUUUUUAUUUUCCCAUCCUCGUGCUUGUUGUCUUCAUUGCUUCUGGAAAACAAGUGCAAAUGACAGUGGUACCAAAUUGUGUGGUAGAAAGCUUGUCAGUUCAUUGUGAAAUAUUCAAGAAUCCUUGCGAACUUCUUUGCCAACAACAUUUUGGAUCACCCGCAGCACAUGGAGCUUGUGGCAUUAAGUUCCAUGUAUGUGUUUGUUAUUUAUGUUAAAUAUAAAGUUUAACUAUAACAAUCACAGCUUUCAUACCUAUUUAAUAGUAUGUAAGCCGAUGAAAAAAUAAAUAUAUAAAUAAAAUGACUUCAUUAUUAGACCCAA